UCCAAUUGAAGCAGAGGACAGUGGCGGACGGGUGAGUAACGCGUGAGGAACCUGCCUUUCAGAGGGGGAUAACAUUUGGAAACAGAUGCUAAUACCGCAUAAGAUUACAGUACCGCAUGGUAGCAGUACCAAAGGAGCAAUCCGCUGAAAGAUGGCCUCGCGUCUGAUUAGCUAGUUGGUGAGGUAACGGCCCACCAAGGCGACGAUCAGUAGCCGGACUGAGAGGUUGACCGGCCACAUUGGGACUGAGAUACGGCCCAGACUCC
rnacentral:rRNA from 1 species